CCCGGGAGGCGGAGGUUGCAGUGAGCCGAGAUCACGCCACUGCACUCCAGCUAAAAUCUCUCUGGCACCAAGGAGGAAGGUCACUCCUAAUAUCAAAGGGACCCAUACGACAAAACUGCUGCAUGGAUGAGAAAACAGCAGAAGCAGAAGCUACCCUCACCUCCCCAUCACUUGUCUGCCCUGAAGCAGGACAUAAGACCCUCAUUUGAGAGGUGCCCUUCCUUAUCUCUGAAGACAAAGGAACAUUCUUAUCUCUGAAGACAUAGGAACAUCGAGAAGAAUGGAGUAUGCUUAUCUAUGAAGACAUGAGAACACAGAGAAGAAUCUGAACAAACGGGGCUUGCUAAGUUCCCUGCAGUUUAUCGGCAUUAGAUUAUACAAUUUUGUCCUCCCUUUGUAUUUCUCUAUGACUGUCCAUGAUUCAUCAAACCUAAACAUAAUAAUAUACAAGUCUACUUGUUUCUUUGGGUCUUCAUUUCCAAAGCCUCCCAUGUUCAUAAAUAUAUUAAAUAAAUGUAUAUGCUUUUCUCUUGUAAA